rnacentral:rRNA from 1 species
UACGUAGGGGGGCAAGCGUUGUCCGGAUUUAUUGGGCGUAAAGAGCGUGUAGGCGGCGUGUCAAGUCAGGCGUGAAAGCCCCGGGCUCAACCUGGGAACCGCGCUUGAGACUGGCAUGCUCGAGUUCGGGAGAGGAUGGUGGAAUUCCCAGUGUAGAGGUGAAAUUCGUAGAUAUUGGGAAGAACACCGAUGGCGAAGGCAGCCAUCUGGACCGACACUGACGCUGAGGCGCGAAAGCGUGGGGAGCAAACAGG